rnacentral:lncRNA from 1 species
GGAGAAGAUUCAUUCAUUCAUCCAUCGGACAGCAGCCACCUCCUGCCCUCUGGGAGCCUGGCCUGCAGGUGUGGGAUCCAGGUGUGCAAUCUCACCUUAACUCAUUCUCUGUGUGUGCUAGCCAGGCCUUGGACAGGGGAGGGGCCUGCCCCUGCAGUCUGUUCUUCAGGACACAGACCGUGGUGCAUCUGUGAAGUCCGGUGGUUUGGGUAGAUAAGUAAUAUGGGACCAGGGCCCAGCCACCUGUGCCCCAGCAUCCCUCUGUGUGUUGGUCCAAUCUUG